GACGAACGCUGGCGGCGUGCCUAAUACAUGCAAGUAGAACGCUGAAGAGAGGAGCUUGCUCUUCUUGGAUGAGUUCGAACGGGUGAGUAACGCGUAGGUAACCUGCCUUGUAGCGGGGGAUAACUAUUGGAAACGAUAGCUAAUACCGCAUAACAAUGGAUGACACAUGUCAUUUAUUUGAAAGGGGCAAUUGCUCCACUACAAGAUGGACCUGCGUUGUAUUAGCUAGUAGGUGAGGUAAUGGCUCACCUAGGCGACGAUACAUAGCCGACCUGAGAGGGUGAUCGGCCACACUGGGACUGAGACACGGCCCAGACUCCUACGGGAGGCAGCAGUAGGGAAUCUUCGGCAAUGGGGGCAACCCUGACCGAGCAACGCCGCGUGAGUGAAGAAGGUUUUCGGAUCGUAAAGCUCUGUUGUAAGUCAAGAACGGGUGUGAGAGUGGAAAGUUCACACUGUGACGGUAGCUUACCAGAAAGGGACGGCUAACUACGUG
rnacentral:rRNA from 1 species